UUUGGAAUUUCAGAUCCAUUGAAAAUCAAACUGCAUCGUCGUAAAAAUGGAGGUAUCUGUGAAAAAUAGACGUCAUGUUGAUGAUUUUUUUACUAGAGAAGAAUUUGAGUAUAUUCAAGCAAACAGAAAGCUUUGUAUAGAGCUAAUCACCAAGCAGGACAUUGUGUUUUGGACCCGUCAGCUGAUUUCGUUCAGACGAGAAGUAAAAAGAGGUCUUGGUCGAGUGUACUUUUGUCUAUGCACAGAUUAUGUUUUCGUCCAUUGUUUACGAAACCUGGCUGCAGGCAAAAUAGGGGCGAUCAAAUUCCUCGCGUUGCUCAGCGCUAGCUUCACCUUGAAGCCACUCAGAUUUCAUGUCCCAAGGAUCAGUGAAUUCCUAGAAACUCAAAAAUACAGUGAGCGAGCUGGUUUGGAGAAGACCAUCAAGGAAAUGUACCCAGAAAAGCUCAUCCGGAAUUGCAAUUAUUUACUAUCUACAGGUACCUGCGACUCACAUGUU